UACGGGGGGGGCAAGCGUUGUUCGGAAUUACUGGGCGUAAAGGGCGCGUAGGCGGCCGCCUAAGUCAGACGUGAAAUCCCUCGGCUCAACCGGGGAACUGCGUCUGAUACUGGGAGGCUUGAAUCCGGGAGAGGAAUGUGGAAUUCCAGGUGUAGCGGUGAAAUGCGUAGAUAUCUGGAGGAACACCGGUGGCGAAGGCGGCAUUCUGGACCGGUAUUGACGCUGAGGCGCGAAAGCCAGGGGAGCAAACGGG
rnacentral:rRNA from 1 species